CGUUUUACUUCUCCUUUGAUAAAAAUUUGUAUUUCAUAUUUUAAAACUUGCACUCAUUCUGCCAGCUGGUGUUACCAGCCGGGCGUGACCCGUCCGUGCAGCCCUCACAAACUGUACUUUUCUUGGUCCAGGCGUCUUUGCAGUAGGUUAGCAUAUGCUGAAGAGUCAGAGCGGGGCUGGACCCGCGUCCGUGGACCAAGAGAGGACGGCACCGGGCACCAGGGAGCUUCCCGCUCCUUGCGGGUUCACCUACCUGCUCUGACGGCUGCACGGAAUCAGGCAGUCUUGACCGGGCAGGAGCUUCAGCUCACUUCCCCACCGGAAGGCAGAGUUGCUUUCUUUGUAUCUCAAAGCAGCUUUCUUUGUAACAUAGUAUUGAACAUUAACGCUUGGAAUCAUUUUGAGGCAAACCUAUUUAGUGCUCACUGGAACAAACAAGCCUGCCGGGGCUGGAGCAGGUUGUAUUUUUCUGUGCGGAGGAGAUGCGGUGCCCAGCUGCAGGGUCACUGUUGUCUGGCAGUCCCGCGUGGCUCUCUGCAGCCACCGCUGUGUGAGCAGCCCUGCACUGCUGAUCACCUGGGCUUUCUUAGCCAGCGUGUCUUUGCGCGUGUACACAUCUCUUCGAGGAACAUCAGUUUAACUACAUCUAUGUGUCUGAGUCCGUGGUUACUUACUUGGAGUAUGUUGGCAAAAUGGGAAUUGCAUUUGAUCGGUCUCUCCAAACUGUUUUCCAGAAAGGUUGCAUCAAUUCACCCUCCCAGGAGCCAAGCAUGUGGCUUCUUCCCGUACCCUGUCUUACCAGGAAUUAUCUUUCCAUAUGUUCGUCUAUUAUCUAUCUACUUAUCAUCUAUCUAUCUACUUAUCAUCUAUCUAUCAUCUAUCAUCUAUCUAUCUAUCUAUCUAUCUAUCAUCCAUCUAUCAUCUUAUAUAUCUGUCACCCAUAAACCUAUCAUGUAUCCAACAUCUAUCUUUCUUAUCUAUAUUAUAUAUUAUGCAUCUAUCAUCUCUAUCAUAUACUUUAACAUCCAUGCACCCAUCAUCUAUCUGUCUACCAAUCGUCCAUCCAUCCACCCACCCACCCAUCCAGCUAACUUGAAUAUUUGUUAA
rnacentral:lncRNA from 1 species